AGCAGCUCUCCUGGAUUUCAGCAGAGGUGCAGUUGUUCCUGAUGGUCUGUGAUCACAUUUUCUUUGAAGCCUUUUUCAUCACCAUUGGUACACAUUAAUGAAAAUAAGAGGAAGCAGUGCCUGGCAAUGUAUUAAAUGCUCUAAAAUAAUGUCUCGUUUAAAGAAUUAGUACUGAGAAGUAGAUAAUGUCCAUUUUAUAGAACCAUUUCCUGCCUGACAUAUUAUCAUGAGUACCAGUCCUUCUUUAGGAGAAUUCUGCCCUUUUGGGAUAAAGUGAAUGCUAGAGUAUACCUUCCCAGAAGCCCAUGAGUCUCCUUCACUCCCCCUCGUCUUACCUCCAAACCAGGAAAAAGGCGAUCAAAGUGGCGACCAGUGGUCUUUGGCAUCCCCUGCCUGAAUCCAGACACCCAGCCCUUCCUGACCCACAGAACACGGUUACAUCAUCUCCUUUAAAGUCAGGCUCCUCUUGCUAACUUAUAAUCCCUGUUACACUUUAAG
rnacentral:lncRNA from 1 species